CCUACGGUGUGCAGCAGUGGGGAAUAUUGGACAAUGGGCGAAAGCCUGAUCCAGCCAUGCCGCGUGUGUGAAGAAGGCCUUCGGGUUGUAAAGCACUUUCAGUGGGGAAGAAAGCCUUGGGGCUAAUACCCUCGAGGAAGGACAUCACCCACAGAAGAAGCACCGGCUAACUCCGUGCCAGCAGCCGCGGUAAUACGGAGGGUGCGAGCGUUAAUCGGAAUUACUGGGCGUAAAGCGCGCGCAGGCGGUCUGAUAAGCCGGUUGUGAAAGCCCCGGGCUCAACCUGGGAACGGCAUCCGGAACUGUCAGGCUAGAGUGCAGGAGAGGAAGGUAGAAUUCCCGGUGUAGCGGUGAAAUGCGUAGAGAGCGGGAGGAAUACCAGUGGCGAAGGCGGCCUUCUGGACUGACACUGACGCUGAGGUGCGAAAGCGUGGGUAGCAAACAGGAUUAGAUACCCGAGUAGUC
rnacentral:rRNA from 1 species